rnacentral:lncRNA from 1 species
CAAGCAACAAGCUAUUGGUGACAUAACUGCCCGCGAAUCAAUCAACGUAAGACAGAAAGUUAUCUCACUCCAUAUGAUACAACGAAUACGUCCAUUGAUUAAAUACAUCAACGAACUUACGACAUGUUAGAACCAACAGACGAUAGAUAGUAGCACGUGCUAGUGAAACCUGUAUGUGUAACAAUCUCCCGCAGAGUGGCGCUGCUAGAAAAUCACGCACAGAAUGUUCGAAAAGUUUUGUUAUUCAUGAUUUUUUCUGUUAAAGGUUAAUCCAACGAUUCUUUGAAGGAAAUUUGAUAAAUUUAAUUUCACGACAGGAACUCGAGAAAUCAAACACAAUUUUGUUUGUGUUGAACUUCGGAAUAUUUAAAGUUUAGGCUAUAUUAAUAU